rnacentral:rRNA from 1 species
CCUACGGGAGGCAGCAGUGGGGAAUAUUGGACAAUGGGGGGAACCCUGAUCCAGCGACGCCGCGUGAGUGAAGAAGUAUUUCGGUAUGUAAAGCUCUAUCAGCAGGGAAGAAAAUGACGGUACCUGACUAAGAAGCCCCGGCUAACUACGUGCCAGCAGCCGCGGUAAUACGUAGGGGGCAAGCGUUAUCCGGAUUUACUGGGUGUAAAGGGAGCGUAGACGGGAGAGCAAGUCUGGAGUGAAAGGGCGGGGCUCAACCCCGGGACUGCGUUGGAAACUGUCAGGCUGGAGUGCAGGAGAGGUAAGUGGAAUGCGUGGUGUAGCGGUGAAAUGCGUAGAUAUUAGGAGGAACACGCAUGGCGAAGGCGGCUUGCUGGACCGUAACUGACGCUGAGGCGCGAAAGCGUGGGGAGCAAACAGGAUUAGAUACCCUAGUAGUC